rnacentral:rRNA from 1 species
GAUGAACGCUGGCGGCGUGCCUAACACAUGCAAGUCGAGCGAACAGACGAGGAGCUUGUUCCUUUGACGUUAGCGGCGGACGGGUGAGUAACACGUGUAUCAUCCACUUAACAUACUGGGAUAAUCUCGGAAAACCGGAGAUUAUACCGGAGGAUAUACUGAACCGCAUGGUUCAUUAGUGAAUUACGGCUUUGCUGUAUCUAAUAGAUGGUUCCGGGCUGGAUUAGCUAGUUGGUAAGGUCACGGCCUAUCAAGGCUACGAUGCGUAGCCGACCUGAGAGGGUGAUCGGCCACACUGGAACUGAGACACGGUCCAGACUCCUGCGGGAGGGAGCAGUAGGGAAUCUUCGGCAAUGGGCGGAAGCCUGGCGGAGCAACGCGGAGUGAGUGAUGAAGGUCUUCGGAUCGUAAAGCUCUGUUAUUGGGGAAGAACAGAUGUGGAAGUAAAUAUACACGUCUUGACGGUACCGAAUAAAGAAGCCACGGCUAACUACGUG